AUUGAACGCUGGCGGCAGGCCUAACACAUGCAAGUCGAGCGGAUGAAGGGAGCUUGCUCCUGGAUUCAGCGGCGGACGGGCGAGUAAUGCCUAGGAAUCUGCCUGGUAGUGGGGGAUAACGUCCGGAAACGGGCGCUAAUACCGCAUACGUCCUGAGGGAGAAAGUGGGGGAUCUUCGGACCUCACGCUAUCAGAUGAGCCUAGGUCGGAUUAGCUAGUUGGUGGGGUAAAGGCCUACCAAGGCGACGAUCCGUAACUGGUCUGAGAGGAUGAUCAGUCACACUGGAACUGAGACACGGUCCAGACUCCUACGGGAGGCAGCAGUGGGGAAUAUUGGAUAAUGGGCGAAAGCCUGAUCCAGCCAUGCCGCGUGUGUGAAGAAGGUCUUCGGAUUGUAAAGCACUUUAAGUUGGGAGGAAGGGCAGUAAGUUAAUACCUUGCUGUUUUGACGUUACCAAAAGAAUAAGCACCGGCUAACUUCGUG
rnacentral:rRNA from 1 species